rnacentral:rRNA from 1 species
GACAGAGGGUGCACACGUUGCUCGGAUUCACUGGGCGUAAAGGGCGUGUAGGCGGGAAGGAAAGUCAGAUGUGAAAUCCCCAGGCUCAACCUGGGAACUGCAUUUGAAACUCCCUUUCUUGAGUACCGGAGAGGAAAGUGGAAUUCCUGGUGUAGAGGUGAAAUUCGUAGAUAUCAGGAGGAACACCAGUGGCGAAGGCGGCUUUCUGGACGGUAACUGACGCUGAGACGCGAAAGCGUGGGGAGCAAACAGG